rnacentral:rRNA from 1 species
AGCGAACGCUGGCGGCAGGCCUAACACAUGCAAGUCGAACGAACUCUUCGGAGUUAGUGGCGGACGGGUGAGUAACACGUGGGAACGUGCCUUUUGGUUCGGAAUAACUCAGGGAAACUUGUGCUAAUACCGAAUGUGCCCUUCGGGGGAAAGAUUUAUCGCCAUUAGAGCGGCCCGCGUCUGAUUAGCUAGUUGGUGAGGUAACGGCUCACCAAGGCGACGAUCAGUAGCUGGUCUGAGAGGAUGACCAGCCACACUGGGACUGAGACACGGCCCAGACUCCUACGGGAGGCAGCAGUGGGGAAUCUUGCGCAAUGGGCGAAAGCCUGACGCAGCCAUGCCGCGUGAAUGAUGAAGGUCUUAGGAUCGUAAAAUUCUUUCACCGGGGACGAUAAUGACGGUACCCGGAGAAGAAGCCCCGGCUAACUUCGUG